rnacentral:rRNA from 1 species
UGGGGAAUAUUGCACAAUGGGCGAAAGCCUGAUGCAGCAACGCCGCGUGAGUGAUGAAGGCCUUCGGGUUGUAAAGCUCUGUCUUCUGGGACGAUAAUGACGGUACCAGAGGAGGAAGCCACGGCUAACUACGUGCCAGCAGCCGCGGUAAUACGUAGGUGGCAAGCGUUGUCCGGAUUUACUGGGCGUAAAGGAUGCGUAGGCGGAUACUUAAGUCAGAUGUGAAAAUCCCGGGCUUAACUUGGGAACUGCAUUUGAAACUGGGUAUCUAGAGUGCGGGAGAGGAAAGUGGAAUUCCUAGUGUAGCGGUGAAAUGCGUAGAGAUUAGGAAGAACACCAGCGGCGAAGGCGACUUUCUGAACCGUAACUGACGCUGAGGCAUGAAAGCGUGGGGAGCAAACA